AAAAUCAGGUUCAAAUUCUUGUUUCUUGAAAAAUCAAAUUUGAUUUCUUGUGGGCGAAGCUUCAAUGCACGCCGCGCAUCAUUCUGUUUCCCCCUUCUCUUAACAUCUCAAAAAUCUCGUUAGGCCUGGAUUUCGUGCCGCCAACUUCACAAAAAAUCCUAUUGGGCCUGGACCUGGUGCCGCCAACAUCUCAAAAAUUUUAUUGGGCAGGCUCGGGUUAAUCCCACUGACCAAUUCAUCACUGGGGCAAAUUAUUUCCACAAGUCUCUCUCAAUCAAAAAAUCAAAAAAUCAGAAAAAAGAAAGAAGGAAAAAUCAAAAAAAUCAGAAGAAAGAAAGAAGGAAAAAUCAAAAAAUCAGAAGAA
rnacentral:lncRNA from 1 species